CUUGGUCAUUUAGAGGAAGUAAAAGUCGUAACAAGGUUUCCGUAGGUGAACCUGCGGAAGGAUCAUUAUCGAAAUUAUUGGUGAGGGUUGUAGCUGGCCUUUCGAGGCAUGUGCACGCUCGAGCCCUUAAUCCACUUUACACCUGUGCACUUAAUGUAGGUCGCCCUUAAAAAAGGUGACCUAUGUCUUAUCAUCAACCCAUCGUAUGUCUCAUAGAAUGUAAUCGAUAUCCUCGCCCUAAAAAAGCGUUGAUAAACUUAUACAACUUUCAACAACGGAUCUCUUGGCUCUCGCAUCGAUGAAGAACGCAGCGAAAUGCGAUAAGUAAUGUGAAUUGCAGAUUUUCAGUGAAUCAUCGAAUCUUUGAACGCACCUUGCGCUCCUUGGUAUUCCGAGGAGCAUGCCUGUUUGAGUGUCAUUAAAUUCUCAACUCCAAGGGUUUUACGACCUUUCGGAGAUUGGACUUGGAGGUGCUGGCCGCAUAUUGGUCGGCUCCUCUCAAAUGCAUCAGCGGAAUUCAACCUUUGGCUUCCGGAUGUCAGUGUGAUAAUCAUGUUGCGCUGUCGUUUGAUCCCUCAGAGUCCGCUUAUAAUGGUCUUCGGACAAAAUCAUCAUCAAAUUUGACCUCAAAUCAGGUAGGACUACCCGCUGAACUUAAGCAUAUCAAUAAGCGGAGGA
rnacentral:rRNA from 1 species